AGCUGAAAAUUUACUUAAAUGAACAAAUGUUUCCUUUCCAUUGUGAUGAGGGUAGUUCUCGCUAAACCAUAGCACUAAUUUUGCAUGGUAUGGAGCACCAAGUUCCUUCGGCAUUUUUGCCUUCCCCACCACUCAUACCCGAGCCACCUAGCAUCCUUGGGCCCCCACCACUGCAACAAUCAGCAACAAUUGCAUGUCCCAUGCAACACACUUCCCCCACUAGCCUUCCAUCAACACCUGUCCAUCGAAUAACUUGCUCAAGCCCAUCCACCACAUUGGCCAAUCCACCAUCUGACCGUAUUACAUCCCACCCACGUAUUUCUCGUCAUUCCCCACCAUCAUCAACUGAAGGAUUAUCAUUAGUUGUUGACCUAAAAGAUCAUCCACCUAAUGCUUCUCAACGAUACAAAACCCACUCCAUGGUGACAAGGUCACAAACUGCAACCUAAAACCCAAAACAUUCUCUGCUACUAUGACCUCUCCCUUAAGACCCACAUGUUACACCAAAGCUGUGAAGGACAAGCAAUGGCAAGAAGCCAUGCAACAAGAAUUGAACGCCUUGCUUCAAACACAAACAUAGGAGCUAGUUCCUUGACAGGAAACUUCCAAUAUCAUUGGGUGCAAAUGGGUGUUUCGAAUAAAACAAAAGGCGGAUGGGUCCAUUGAUUGUUACAAAGCAAAACUUGUGGCAAAGGUUUUUCAUCAAUGCCCUGGCAUUGACUUUAUAUGGAGACCUUUUCCCUAGUUGUCAAGUCAACAACACUAAGGGUCAUCUUAUCUCUUACAGUGACAUAUGGUUGGAACAUCAAGCAAUU
rnacentral:misc_RNA from 1 species